AUAACGACUCUCGGCAACGGAUAUCUCGGCUCUCGCAUCGAUGAAGAACGUAGCGAACUGCGAUACUUGGUGUGAAUUGCAGAAUCCCGUGAACCAUCGAGUCUUUGAACGCAAGUUGCGCCCGAAACCUACGGUCGAGGGCACGUUUGCCUGGGUGUCACA
rnacentral:rRNA from 1 species